UAACGCAUGUACGCACCAGCAUACAUCGCACAGAAAUAAAUUGCGACCAGCAGUGCAGAUUUGGCCAAAACACCUUCCAAACCCACCUAUUCUUCCCCCAAACCCCACCCCUCCCAACUUCAAUUCAAGGUACGACCCAAGGUACGCCCGUACACAACAAUUACACCAAUCAAUCUUCAAGAUACACACUUUAAUCCACUCCAAACAUCAAUUCAAGGUAGUAGAACUCCAGUUUAAAUAUGCUCACAGAGCAUAUCAAUUGACAGGAGCACUGAAAUUGUUCGUCAAAACGCUCGACUGAAAAAGACCAACUUUUUCUUUCGAGUUUCACGCCUCCUAUUUUGCUUCCUAUUUGCUACGAUGAUUCGUAGACGAAUCCAAGCGGCCUUUAACAUCGAAGGGAUAAUAGCGGGAAACUGCAGUGCGAGUUUUAUAAUCAAGAAUGAGAUACACGGUGUUGAUGCAUCGUAUUCAACCAUUUCGGAUAGUGUAGAGUUGCCAAGAAAGCUAAAGAGGUCUGAGCGGAAGCCAUUGGUGACGGGCGUUAACGAGCUCAAGCGCAGAGCAAAGGCGGAGAAGAAAGAGAGACGAGAGGCCCGUGAGGUUCCUCUGAAACCUCCUGAGAAUGGGGUGUUGGUGAAAGGGUUAAUACCAGUAGCUCAUGAGGUUUUAGCUGCCAAAGCUGAGUUAUUUGUGUGUGUUUCUAGGGUUGCAGAGGAGAUUCCUAUUUAUUCAUGCAGAUUGUGUGGGGAAGUUCAUGUUGGUCAUCCACCACAUAAGAUUAGAACAUGUUCUGUAAGCGGUAGUCCGAGAAGCAAAGAGCAUAUCUGGGAGAAAUGGGGUGUCAAACAUUUACUGCCUCUUGUGGAGUCUUUUCAUAUGUAUGAUAGGUUGGGGAGAGCUGUUUCACAUAACGAGCGCCUCGAGGUGGAUCGAAUUCCAGCUGUUAUGGAGUUGUGUAUUCAGGCUGGUGUAGACAUACCUGACUACCCAACUAGAAGAAGAAAGUUCACUGUUUACCGCGUUGCAGGGAGGAUGAUAGAUUUUGAGAAGAAGUUUCCCAAGGAUUAUUCAUCUGGAAACCACAUACAGACCUCGGGUUUUUGGGGAACCACUAAGAGAUCAACUGAAAAUGAUAAAACUUUGAGGUUGCCACAUCAUGAUGUGAAAGGAUUUGCAGAAAUAGGAAUGGAAGCGUGGGAAAAAAUGUGUUCAGGAGCCAUACAGCUAAUGCAGAAGUACGCUGUUCAAACAUGUGGAUAUUGUCCCGAGGUCCAAGUUGGACCAAAGGGUCACAGGGUGAGGCAAUGCCAAGCCUUCAAGCAUCAGAUGAGGGAUGGACAGCAUGCUUGGCAAGAGGCAACCAUAGAUGACAUUGUCCCACCAGAGUAUGUUUGGCAUGUUCAAGAUCCACAUUCUGGUGUGCCUCAAAUAGAUGCUUUAAAAAGGUACUAUGGAAAAUUGCCUGCAGUUGUAGAAUUGUUUGCUCAAGCUGGAGCCAAGGUUGGAAGUAACUAUGAUGGCAUAAUGAGAGCCGACGUUGCUCUUCCUAGUCUAGACGAAGAGAAGCUAGUCAUGUGAAGCUGUGUUAAUAGUGGCAUCACAUAUUCACAUCUAUAUUGAUGCCAUCUAUGGGGACCUGAACGAGAAGUUCAGUCAUGUCUACAUUGGCACCAUCUGUGGAGACGUGAACGAGAAGUUCACAGUUCUUUUAUAAUAACAAUGCUUGAACAAGUGUAUUUUCAAGAGUAGAAUCAACGCUGCAACAGACGAUUCAUCACGCGAAUGUCUAUUCCAAGGUUCUUGCUGGUGCAUUACUUGGAUGUCUAGUUGCAUACCUAAUGAGAAGAUCGAGUUAGGGACAAGCCAUCCGGGAUGCUCUCCAGCGCGGUAUCACAUCCUUAGAUGUAAGAAGGCCCCCAAGCAAUUUAGGCUUCGGACAGAUUUU